rnacentral:misc_RNA from 1 species
CUUACUAUCCCUUCACUCACACUCUUACCUUCAUUCAAAGGGGGUGUUUUCACUACUUUAACAUGGCGACACUCUCUAACAUGAUUCUGCUGCGUUGUUCUUGGCAUUUAGUGUUGCACGUCGUCUUCUGGUGGUUUCUGCUGGCCGUUAUUCCUAGCAGCAUGGCCAUGGUGACCAAUGUACCAAACGAAUCACCAUCCAUAGAAGCCCAAGAAGAGGCUUACGUUACCUUCCGACACAAAACGGACAGUCUUACCAUUCUCAUGCUUCUCACUUUACUAUUACUCACAAUUUUGACCAUUUGGUUGUUUAAGCACAGACGUUUUCGAUUCGUGCACGAAACUGGACUUUCUAUGAUAUACGGUUUGGUCGUUGGUGCCGUAAUCCGUUAUGCUGGCGGGCCGUCUUCUCACCGCGUUCCACCACAAGCCAAGCUCAUCAAUGCAACAGCUACAGUUGAAAAUAUACCAAAUUCUAUUUAUUUAUUUUUGAAUAUAUCUAACAGUAGUCACUCAGAGACUUUACAAUAUAAUUUUUACAGCAAAGUUAAGACUGAAACUCAGGGCGUGCCUUUAGAAAGAACAGUUACAUUUGAUCCAGAGUUGUUCUUCAAUGUUCUUCUUCCUGUUAUUAUUUUCAAUGCUGGAUACAGUAUGAAACGAAAACAUUUUUUUCGGAACCUUGGUGCAGUUAUGACUUAUGCUUUAAUUGGUACCACAAUAUCCAGUAUAGUAUUUGGUGGUAUCAUGUAUGGCCUGACCAGAAUAAUGAACAUAUCGCAUCUCAUCCAGUUGACUGAUUGUUUCUUUUUCGGUGCUGUGAUAUCAGCAACAGACCCUGUUACAAUUCUGGCUAUUUUCCAUGAUCUCAAUGUUGAUGUUGAUUUGUAUGCGCUUGUCUUUGGUGAAAGUGUGCUCAAUGAUGCAGUGGCUAUAGUGUUGUCUCGAGCUGUUGAACAGUAUGCCCAUGCAGCAGGAGGAGAAAACCAAGCAAAUGCUUUCUUUGGUUCCCUGGGCAAUUUCGUUGGAGUCUUUUUGGGUGCUUUUGUGAUUGGUGCAGCUAUUGGCUGCAUAACAGCUUUGAUGACAAAAUAUACAAAGAUUCGAGAAUAUCCUUUAUUAGAAACAGCACUGUUCUUCUUGAUGUCUUACAGUACGUUCCAAGCUGCCGAGGCUGCUGGACUAACAGGAAUUGUUGCUGUCCUAUUUUGUGGUAUUACUCAAGCUCAUUAUACUUAUAACAAUCUCUCGUCAGAAUCGAAAGCGAGGACAAAACAAUUGUUCGAGCUAUGCAACUUUUUAGCUGAAAAUUUUGUAUUCCUCUAUAUUGGAGUGUCUGUAUUUACUUUCCAAGCCAUGAAAUGGCAUGCAAUUUUUAUAUUUUCAGCAUUUUUUGCAAUAAUUAUAGCAAGAUUUUCUAAUGUUUACCCGCUGUCCUAUUUGCUAAAUUUAGGACGGAAGAACAAAAUUAGUUUUGCUUUCCAACACAUGAUGAUGUUUGCUGGUUUACGAGGAGCAAUCGCUUUUGCUCUAGCCAUUCGGAACACGUCAACGGCAGCCCGACAGUACAUGGUAUCUGCCAUCAUGAUGGUUGUUCUUGUAACAGUCAUAGUGUGUGGAAGUAUGACCACGCCCAUGUUACAGUGGCUCAAGAUCAGAGUUGGUGUUGAUGAAGAACACGAGCAGCCAUUUGAGCCUGUGCGUACCGCCAUUAAUCGCCAGAAACAGUAUAGCACAAUGGAUGGGCCAGCGAGUGAACAGUCUUCAUCUUCUGCAGCUGGUGGCACACCAUCAAACUCUACCGCAGCAGGAGUCCCAAAUCAGACCAACACGAGUCCUGGUUCAGUGCCAAGUGAGCAGCCGCCUUCAGGAGAGAAAGCUUGGUUGGUGCUUCAUUGGUACAAUUUUGAUACCAAAUACAUGAAGCCAUUCUUGACUAACAGUCGUCCCCUGCUCACAGAAACUCUACCAACCUGGUGCUUACCCAUAGCAAAACUUUUAACCACAAAUGAACAGUUAUCUGAAGGUCUUCAUAAACGGGAGUCUGAUUCUGAUACGGAUAUGAUUAUUGACCACAGCGAGUCAUACGGAGAAAACACCAGUGUUGCCUCUGGACACACGGCCGACAUGAUAGACAGAAAGCCAACAUUACAAGAAGAUUUUGAGGAUAUCUCUGUGUAUGACGUGGACGAAUCCUCGACUCCCUUGCUUUGACCUUCAUCAGUAUUUUGUCCUAGCUUCUUUAUCAAAACCACUUUAUAUUUAUACACUGUUUCGUAUCAAGACCAACCAUGAGAGGAUUAAA